CUUCGUGCCACUCGUUAAGAGCCUGGCAUCCCAUUGCAGGGCAUCGACAGCCUCUGCCCGGCGCUCCCAACCGACGCACGGCAGCCUCUCCACAAAGGAAACGCAGGACGCGAAUGAAGCGCGGAAAGUGACAGCGAAGCGGCGGUGCCUCUUAUGAACAGGGCGGGAAAAGGAGACCCAACAGAAGAAAAGCCUGGCUUUGCAACCCCGUGUUUGGUCUGCCGAAGCAUUGAAGAUGCAAGGGGACGUUUAAAGAACAUAUCCAACCGAUGAGCAGAGAUUUAUAAAGCCUUUGCACGGAUGAAGCCUU